rnacentral:rRNA from 1 species
CAAAAUCAAUAGCCACCCCACCCAACCCACAAACCCACCUAGGCCCACCACCCAAAACACUGGCUAACAUUUUUAGGUUGGGGCGACCUUGGAGAAAAACAGAUCCUCCAAAAAUAGGGCCAAAUCCCCUAACCGAGAGCAACCUCUCAACGUGCUAACAGCACCCAGACCCAGUAAAUCUGACCAAUGAACCAAGCUACCCCAGGGAUAACAGCGCAAUCUCCUCCAAGAGCCCCUAUCGACGAGGAGGUUUACGACCUCGAUGUUGGAUCAGGACAUCCUAGUGGUGCAGCCGCUACUAAGGGUUCGUGUCAACGAUAACCGC